CGGGUGGCUGUGCUCCUCCAGCAGCCCUCUGCAGUAGAGUGGCUGCUCCCUCAGCCGCCCCACAGAAAGGCAGAAGGUUUCUGUCCCGCCACCCAAAGAAAGUGGUAGUGGGUUCGUUCCCCUUCUUAUAAAU
rnacentral:snoRNA from 1 species